AAGUAGCCAGCUCCCUGGAAACACAACAUACCUCAAGGCUGUGAAGACUGUGCGCUAGCUUCGAACAAAGCCUACUAAAAAGCUUUGUGUUGGAAGAUGUGUAUUUCCAAAGAAAGAUACCUCUCACAGCUCAUGUAUUGCCUUAAGCUGCCUCAAAAAAUCCUUCGAAGACUUGCGGAAUCGAUUCAUUAGUUCUUUUAUACUUCAUGAAACAGGAUGAAGUAUUUAUCACUGGACGAACUGGUCAAAGACUGGACGAACUACAUUGAACGAAAAUUGCUUCAUACUGAAUUUUCGAGUAUUAGUUUGCUAAAUAAAUAAUUUUUC